CAGGACUGUGGCACCUGACAGACAAAAUGGAAGCACAGUGACAGCUCCUUUCAAAGGUGCCUGGGGUAGAUCAAAGUUCUCUCCUCCUGGAGUUGCAGGCAUCCCCCUUCAUCUCAGGGGCUUUCCAUACAACCCCACAGCUAGCCAUACCCAUGGAUAGGCUCCAUGCUCCUCGAUAUGUCAGCAUACCAGCACAGUUGACUCAGUUCCAUCGGCCAUGUGUUAGUGGAUGUGAUGGAUCUACGUGUGGACACACACAUGUGUUGCUUACAGCCUCUACAUGCAAAAUGCAACUGGGCACCUCGGUAUCCAGACAAACAUGCCAUCUCAGUUUCUUCCCUGUUGUUGUUACAAAAUAUGGUGGUGAAAUCAUCUUGAAGUUCAUGACUGAUGGCUACAGAGGGAUUUUCCAUGCUGAGUCUGAAGUACAGAUUGUUUCAGGCUGUCGCAGAGGUUCCAAGCCAGCUUGGGAAACAGGAGACCCCUUCUUAAGGAGAAGAAGAAGA